UACGGAGGGAGCUAGCGUUGUUCGGAAUUACUGGGCGUAAAGCGCGCGUAGGCGGCUUUGUAAGUCAGAGGUGAAAUCCCGGAGCUCAACUCCGGAACUGCCUUUGAGACUGCAUCGCUUGAAUCCGGGAGAGGUGAGUGGAAUUCCGAGUGUAGAGGUGAAAUUCGUAGAUAUUCGGAAGAACACCAGUGGCGAAGGCGGCUCACUGGCCCGGUACUGACGCUGAGGUGCGAAAGCGUGGGGAGCAAACAGG
rnacentral:rRNA from 1 species